ensembl:snoRNA
UUCCACAGCUGCUGGUCUGCAGCUAUUCUUAGGGUAGCAGUUGUGGCGUUUCUCUGUGGGAAACAACUGUUAACACAAUGAAACACCUCUUUCUUAGCGAAACAGAAAGUGGGCAUGUGUGUGACCGACACAA